GAAAAAGAAUAAUAUUUUUUUUUACCACUCCAGGUGGCGUUUUACAUUUAAAUAUUACUCAAUGGACUACGAAAGAGACUUUACAAUUAAUAACAAAUCUCAAGACAGACAGUGUAUAUUUAAAUUGGACCUCAUUGGAAAUGGGCUGGACUCGGCCUAAUGGGCGUUCCUGAUGCUUAUUACGUGAUGUAUACAAAGAAGCCACAACUAUCAGGAAAGAAUGUCAGGACUCAAACGUGAAAGGGCAACAGAACUUACAAAUUAUUCAUAGAUAGCCAAAAAUUGUGUCACUCAUCAAACUUCCUGCAAAAAUUAUGGAUAUGAAAUUAAUUCAAAUAUAGUUUAAAUUUUAUUUUCAAAAUGUUUUCCUCUGCAAUAAUCACAAAAAAUAAUCUUAGUAUUAUGUAGUAAUUAUUGUAGACUUUAUUUUUUAAUAUUGUAUUAUUACUGCUAAUGUUUAUCUUAUUAAUAGAGAAAAUAAUCCGUUUGUUGUAAGGAAUAUAGACAUGUAAAAUAAUAAGAUAUAACAUUUUGAGGAUUAAAAUCAGAUUUAUUGAUUUUUACCGGAU